GCUCGUAACCCUCUCAGCUGGUCACAACAGCGCCUCCACUUGACACCGACGGCCCUUUGUUCCCAGUGUACGGGCAGGCAUCCAAAUGCGGGCUCUCCUGGCCAAGGUGACCUACAGGGCUCGUCUCAGCAAGCCGGCACUUCGCACCUGUUGUUCUCAGUUCUGGAAGCUGGAAGGCUGAAAUCAAGAUGUUGGCAGGGCCACACUCCCUCUGAAGAUUCUAGGGGAACAUCUCCUUGCCUCUUGCAGUUUAUGGUGGCUGUCAUGGACACGUGUCAUUGGUUCUGGGACCCACCCACAUAAUCCAGGAUGAUCUCAUCUCAAGGUACUUAAUUACAUCUGCAAAGACUCUUUUUACAAAUAAGGUCACAUUCACAGGUUCCAGGAGUUAGGAUGUAGACAUAUCUUUGGGGGGCGGGGGAGGGUACUAUUUAACUCAAUACAAAAUUAUAAUGCAGUGUGUUGGAAAGAACUUGUUUGGUCUUUGGAGUGAAAAAUACAUGCGUUCAAAUUCCACCCAUGCUAUUAGCUCAGGCAAAUUACUCAAAUUUUCUGAUAUGUUAGUUUGGGUCUUCUGAGAAGAAGAUGCCACCUGGAAUUAGAUGUGCAAGAGGUUUAUUGGAGGAAAUGCCUGUGGGAUUCCUCAGGGAUCCUCACUUGCAUUUCACUGGAUAGACUGUUCUGCAUGAUUAUAUCUAGCUGCAAGGGAGUCUAGAAAGAUAAGUUUCCAGGCUUUAUUGUACAGAUAGGCAAGGGGGAAAGGGGAUUUUGAGUAUCUGAUCCGUAAUACCUGCCAAGAUAAUACAAUAACAGUGUCCACAGUGUCUGUGGCAUGACGUUUGGAAACACCAGUUCCUAUCGUGGAAGCAAAGUGCCUAAAUCCAACUAAAUCUGUGUUUGGGGAUGAGGCAAAGGUCAUCAAAGUGACUCUUGGAAGUGCACUGGUUUGCCAGAUGAAUGAGGGCAUUUCAGGCAGAAGGUGUGCAUAUGCAGAUCUGUGGGUCAGAAGGGCCUGCUGAAGAAAUGGCCAGCAAUUUGGAAAAGUUAGGCCGUAACUAAUGAGGUAGAGAGUGUUGAAAAAUGAUGAAAAACACAUGUCCCAUAUCAAGGCAUUUGGAUUUUAUGCUUUAAGACAGGGAUGUCCAACAUUUUGAUUGUGUAGUUUUAUUCAAUAAAAAUCUUUUUUGGAGUGUAUACCCCUAGUGUAUAUUUAUUUAUUUAUUUACCUAUAAUUUAUAUACUGCACUAAUAUGUCAGGUGGGUUAUAAGUUGCACACUAGAGUAUAAGCUCCCUGAGGGCAGGGAAUUAUUCUUUUAUUCACUGCCUAUCCCCAGUACCUAGAUGGCCCUUGGCACAGAAGAAUACUUAAUAAGUACUUAUUAA